rnacentral:rRNA from 1 species
GGUCAAGUGAAGAAGCGCAUACGGUGGAUGCCUUGGCAGUCAGAGGCGAUGAAAGACGUGGUAGCCUGCGAAAAGCUUCGGGGAGUCGGCAAACAGACUUUGAUCCGGAGAUCUCUGAAUGGGGGAACCCACCUAGGAUAACCUAGGUAUCUUGUACUGAAUCCAUAGGUGCAAGAGGCGAACCAGGGGAACUGAAACAUCUAAGUACCCUGAGGAAAAGAAAUCAACCGAGAUUCCCUUAGUAGUGGCGAGCGAACGGGGAUUAGCCCUUAAGCUUCAUUGAUUUUAGCGGAACGCUCUGGAAAGUGCGGCCAUAGUGGGUGAUAGCCCCGUACGCGAAAGGAUCUUUGAAGUGAAAUCGAGUAGGACGGAGCACGAGAAACUUUGUCUGAACAUGGGGGGACCAUCCUCCAAGGCUAAAUACUACUGACUGACCGAUAGUGAACCAGUACCGUGAGGGAAAGGCGAAAAGAACCCCGGAGAGGGGAGUGAAAUAGAACCUGAAACCGUAUGCGUACAAGCAGUGGGAGCCUACUUGUUAGGUGACUGCGUACCUUUUGUAUAAUGGGUCAGCGACUUAUAUUCAGUGGCAAGCUUAACCGUAUAGGGUAGGCGUAGCGAAAGCGAGUCUUAAUAGGGCGUUUAGUCGCUGGGUAUAGACCCGAAACCGGGCGAUCUAUCCAUGAGCAGGUUGAAGGUUAGGUAACACUGACUGGAGGACCGAACCCACUCCCGUUGAAAAGGUAGGGGAUGACUUGUGGAUCGGAGUGAAAGGCUAAUCAAGCUCGGAGAUAGCUGGUUCUCCUCGAAAGCUAUUUAGGUAGCGCCUCAUGUAUCACUCUGGGGGGUAGAGCACUGUUUCGGCUAGGGGGUCAUCCCGACUUACCAAACCGAUGCAAACUCCGAAUACCCAGAAGUGCCGAGCAUGGGAGACACACGGCGGGUGCUAACGUCCGUCGUGAAAAGGGAAACAACCCAGACCGCCAGCUAAGGUCCCAAAGUUGUGGUUAAGUGGUAAACGAUGUGGGAAGGCUUAGACAGCUAGGAGGUUGGCUUAGAAGCAGCCAUCCUUUAAAGAAAGCGUAAUAGCUCACUAGUCGAGUCGGCCUGCGCGGAAGAUGUAACGGGGCUCAAACCACACACCGAAGCUGCGGGUGUCACGUAAGUGACGCGGUAGAGGAGCGUUCUGUAAGCCUGUGAAGGUGAGUUGAGAAGCUUGCUGGAGGUAUCAGAAGUGCGAAUGCUGACAUGAGUAACGACAAUGGGUGUGAAAAACACCCACGCCGAAAGACCAAGGGUUCCUGCGCAACGUUAAUCGACGCAGGGUUAGUCGGUUCCUAAGGCGAGGCUGAAAAGCGUAGUCGAUGGGAAACAGGUUAAUAUUCCUGUACUUCUGGUUACUGCGAUGGAGGGACGGAGAAGGCUAGGCCAGCUUGGCGUUGGUUGUCCAAGUUUAAGGUGGUAGGCUGAAAUCUUAGGUAAAUCCGGGGUUUCAAGGCCGAGAGCUGAUGACGAGUCGUCUUUUAGAUGACGAAGUGGUUGAUGCCAUGCUUCCAAGAAAAGCUUCUAAGCUUCAGGUAACCAGGAACCGUACCCCAAACCGACACAGGUGGUCGGGUAGAGAAUACCAAGGCGCUUGAGAGAACUCGGGUGAAGGAACUAGGCAAAAUGGCACCGUAACUUCGGGAGAAGGUGCGCCGGCUAGGGUGAAGGAUUUACUCCGUAAGCUCUGGCUGGUCGAAGAUACCAGGCCGCUGCGACUGUUUAUUAAAAACACAGCACUCUGCAAACACGAAAGUGGACGUAUAGGGUGUGACGCCUGCCCGGUGCCGGAAGGUUAAUUGAUGGGGUUAGCGCAAGCGAAGCUCUUGAUCGAAGCCCCGGUAAACGGCGGCCGUAACUAUAACGGUCCUAAGGUAGCGAAAUUCCUUGUCGGGUAAGUUCCGACCUGCACGAAUGGCGUAACGAUGGCGGCGCUGUCUCCACCCGAGACUCAGUGAAAUUGAAAUCGCUGUGAAGAUGCAGUGUAUCCGCGGCUAGACGGAAAGACCCCGUGAACCUUUACUGUAGCUUUGCACUGGACUUUGAGCCUGCUUGUGUAGGAUAGGUGGGAGGCUUUGAAGCGUGGACGCCAGUUCGCGUGGAGCCAUACUUGAAAUACCACCCUGGCAUGCUUGAGGUUCUAACUCUGGUCCGUGAUCCGGAUUGAGGACAGUGUAUGGUGGGCAGUUUGACUGGGGCGGUCUCCUCCUAAAGAGUAACGGAGGAGUACGAAGGUGCGCUCAGACCGGUCGGAAAUCGGUCGUAGAGUAUAAAGGCAAAAGCGCGCUUGACUGCGAGACAGACACGUCGAGCAGGUACGAAAGUAGGUCUUAGUGAUCCGGUGGUUCUGUAUGGAAGGGCCAUCGCUCAACGGAUAAAAGGUACUCCGGGGAUAACAGGCUGAUACCGCCCAAGAGUUCAUAUCGACGGCGGUGUUUGGCACCUCGAUGUCGGCUCAUCACAUCCUGGGGCUGAAGCCGGUCCCAAGGGUAUGGCUGUUCGCCAUUUAAAGUGGUACGCGAGCUGGGUUUAGAACGUCGUGAGACAGUUCGGUCCCUAUCUGCCGUGGACGUUUGAGAUUUGAGAGGGGCUGCUCCUAGUACGAGAGGACCGGAGUGGACGAACCUCUGGUGUUCCGGUUGUCACGCCAGUGGCAUUGCCGGGUAGCUAUGUUCGGAAAAGAUAACCGCUGAAAGCAUCUAAGCGGGAAACUUGCCUCAAGAUGAGAUCUCACUGGGAACUUGAUUCCCCUGAAGGGCCGUCGAAGACUACGACGUUGAUAGGCUGGGUGUGUAAGCGUUGUGAGGCGUUGAGCUAACCAGUACUAAUUGCCCGUGAGGCUUGACCAU